GUAAUUACAGCACAUACCUGGUCAGCAGCUGAUUGUGUGGUAUGCUACAGUCACAUCGAUGUCAUAAUAGUGCUUGCAUAAUCUGAACUGGCUAUCCUGGCCAUGACAGACUGAGAGGCCAGCUGCCUACCAGGACAGGAGCUCUUUGGAGAAAGGACUGGAGGAAGUGGUGAAAAAAGACUAAAACAUGAAUAAUCUUGUGAGUGAACAGGAGGUAACUGAGAGAGGUGUUUAUAAUGAGGUUGUUUCCCUCCUGGCACACAUGAAUGACCAAGAUAAGGACAGAAUUGCCCUCAGGAUUGCCUCUAUAGCUAAGACCAAGCUGGCUACUGUUGUGAGAGUUCUGCUGGAGAAAUUGCAACAGGAUAAGCAAAACAGAGUAGCCAUU